GAUUUGACAUGCUUAUUGUAAAUAUCUUAGAUCGGAAAAUUUUAAGAAUAUUUAAAACAUAUAUAGAAAUUUCCGUUGGUUGUAGUAAAGGAUAAAAUAUGAGAUCACUUAGUAUAGAAACAGUACUCAUUAUAAGGGCUCGUGCAAUUGUGCUACUCCUCUUAACUUCAUUAAUAUUUUAAGAUAGAAGUCUAUGACCCAGAAGACGUAUCAUACAAGAUUUGACAAUAAAAUGAACAAGAUUUUCUUUUUCUUCUUUAAUAUUAUUUGAUGUUAUCUAGUGCGUGUUUGAGCCACAGAAUUUUGAAAGAAUGUGUGGUUAAAAAAUAAGAAAACGUUUUGGAUUUAUGUGUAAUAUUAUUUUAUUGAAAAAUGUAUAGUUGAAAUGAUGUCAAAUUACUUUUAGGAAUAUAUAUAUAUUUUUUUUGAAAGAAUGCGAUUCAAAGAGGACCCUAAUAUUUGUCAUAAUACACAUGCAAAUAAGGAUAUAUUCU
rnacentral:lncRNA from 1 species